CCUAGUAAAAAACACUUGCGUGCUAUUGAUGUCAACAUGAACAAAAUGCCAGAUGUUGCUAUGACGCUGGCCGUGGUUGCACUUUUUGCUGAUGGCCCUACUGCCAUAAGAGACGUGGCCAGUUGGAGAGUGAAAGAAACAGAACGGAUGAUCGCAAUUUGUACAGAGCUCAGGAAGUUAGGAGCAAAUGUUGAAGAGGGGCAAGAUUACUGUGUUAUUACUCCACCUGAGAAACUAAAAGUCGCAGAGAUCGACACUUAUGAUGAUCACAGAAUGGCCAUGGCAUUCUC
rnacentral:misc_RNA from 1 species